CCUACGGGAGGCAGCAGUGAGGAAUAUUGGUCAAUGGGCUAAGGCCUGAACCAGCCAAGCCGCGUGAGGGAAGACGGUUCUAUGGAUUGUAAACCUCUUUUGUCGGGGAGCAACGAGGCCACGUGUGGCCGAAGUGAGAGUACCCGAAGAAACAGCAUCGCCUCACUCCGUGCCAGCAGCCGCGGUAAUUCGGGGGCUGCGAGCGUUAUCCGGGUUUCUUGGGUUUAAAGGGUGCGUAGGCGGAACAUUAAGUCAGCGGUAAAAUCGAGGGGCUCAACCCCUUUAAGCCGUUGAAACUGGGGAUCUGGAGUGGGCGAGAGGUAUGCGGAAUGCGUGGUGUAGCGGUGAAAUGCAUAGAUAUCACGAAGAACUCCGAUUGCGAAGGCAGCAUACCGGCGCCCGACUGACGCUGAGGCACGAAAGCGUGGGGAUCGAACAGGAUUAGAGACCCCUGUAGUC
rnacentral:rRNA from 1 species